rnacentral:lncRNA from 1 species
AGGAUUGUAUGUCCCUUAAGUGCUUAAAGCAGCAAAAGAGGCUUAAGCCUCUUACAAGGAUGGAGAGGCAUUUAGAAAAAGCCAAAUGAUGAAGUUUUUCCCAGAGAGUUUUGUGAGAAUGAGAAUGAACUAAGUGUUGACAGUAAUGAGGUGCUUUGUGAAUGAGCCCCUCUAAAUUACUAAGUUUAUCUUUUGAUCUGAAAACAUGACAGUGAUUGAAAAACCAAUUAGCACAUGUACCAUGUGGCCAGACAGCCUAAAAUAAAGAUGAGGGGGUGACCAAAAUGGGGCCACCAAACCAUGAACCACCCUAACCCAAAUUAAGCAGUGUUAACUAUAAUGUAUAUAUACAAUAUAUACAAUAUUUGUCUUCUAUUGCUGCCUCUAACAAAUUGCCACGAAUUUAGUGGCUUAAAACAUUCAUUUAUUAUCUCAGAGCCCUGUAGAUCAGGAGUCCUGGUACAGCAGGCCUCAGCUGGGUCCUCCACUUAAAGUCUUACAAGAACAAAAUCAAGGUGUUGGCAGGGCUGUGUUCCUUUCUGCUUUCAAGCACUUUCUGGUUGUUGAUUGAAUCCAGUUUCUCGUGGUUGUUGGACUGUGCCUCCUUGAUGGCUGUCAGCUGGGGGCCACUCUUAGCUCCUAGAGGCUCUUUUAAGUUCUGGCACAAGGUCCUUUCUAUCAUGCGAUCCUCUCCACCCCAGAAACAAUAAAAGCUUUCAAUUCUUCUCACAUUUAGAGUCCAUUUGGCUUGCUCUUUUGCAGUAUCUUUGCCUCUAGCUGGAGAAAGUCGUGUAUGUGAACUGGACCUACCCAGAUAAUCCACGUAGUUUUCCUUAUAACACACAGUUUAAAAUGUGAUCUUAUGCUUUUUGGAAAGAGGAAAAUGAAAACAUUUUAUUUUAGAUAUUAAAAUACACUUUCUAAUAUUUUAGUUUUUCCACAUUAAAAUCUCAGUUAUUCCUUAUCAUUUGGUCCACUUUAAAUAGUUUUACAUUCUUAAAAGUCAUGUUCAAGUUUCUAUGCUAACUAGCCUGUAUUGGUGAGAACAUGUAUAAAUAAUGGUGAUAAAUACAAGUAUGUAACUGGUAGGUAAACAAACUGUGGCUUUAAUGAGGCUUUACUUCAGGAUGCUUUUGGUUAUUAAACCACAUAUAAAUCUGGUUGGAUUACUGUUUUUACAUUCAGCAGGACUGGUUAUUUGAUUAUGAGAUAGUUUCAAUACUGGCUUAAAUAAAAAUGAUUUUCAUGAACUACAGUUUAGUUCUGAAUAUCUGUGUGAUAUUAUGGAUUGUAGUACCUUUAGCAAAUAGUGGGUAAAGGAAAUAUUAAAUUUGCUGUUGAUUAAAAUGGUGUGCAUUGCCCAGGUCUAGAAACACGGCAGAGUGGUUAAAAAAAAAAAAAAAGCAAACUUCAGAGUCAGGCAGAUGGACCAAAUGCCAGCUUUGUUCCUUAGCAGCUGUGUGAUCUCAGACGAGUUGCUCAUCCUCUCUUGACACUCGGUAUCUGCAUGUGCAAAAUGAAGAUAUAAAUAUCAACCUGUAGGAGGGGGGCAUUAAUGAGGAUUAAAUGAAAUUAUUGAGAAGUCCCUAGAAGCUUCUGGUACACAGGCAGAGUUCAAAACUCCUUUGUUACCAUUGUCUUGCCUCUUGGGGUGUCUAGUAUGCUAAUAAGUGAACCUCGUACUCAACAUCCACCAUAAACUAGAACCAUAAUUUUGCAAUGUGAGAGUUGGUCCAUUUAGAUUUAAUAUUCUUUUAUAUUGUCUUAUUGUAUUUGAACUUUUUUUUUCCGUUGCAUCCUCAGGGUCUACUAAAAUAAGUAUUUUAUGAACAUUUGCUUUUAAAAACGCUUUUUAAAAUGAACUUGAAAUUUCAUAACAAGGCUGGAAACAAUAAAGUUUUUUUACAUUAGAUUUGUCAUUUCAAUAGCAUAUGCUCAUAGUGGAAAAGUGUCAUUACUACAAGAGCUUAAUGUUAGGCACUCUUCUCAAGAGUAGCUAACAUUUCCUUUGUGUUGCAUUUUUGUUUUGAAUAAAAUAAAAUAAUUUGAGUGGUAAUUUGGGGGCUGCGUCAGAGUCCCCCCUGUGGUUACACUCCUCCUGUGGUUCCUUUUGCAAAUGUAGUUGUGGACCACUGGCCUAAAGAUUCUAAUUAUCACUGGUUCUGUGGCAGGGUAAUAGCAAAAUCUAAAUACCUUUAUUUUGAUUUCAUGCACCUCAUGUCCAUAUUGGAUUUUGAUGACUGCCUGCUCCAGUGUUGGUAGAAGCUCAUAUAAUUAGUAUACACUCAAUAAACACAUGUUUGUUGAUGGAUGAAUACCCACUUUUUUAAUGCCUCCCUCUUUAAUGGCAAACAUUUAUUAAGCACCUGCUAUAUUUGGGACACUGUCCUAAAAGCAGUAAGUGCAACCGUGCCUCUGCCUGCUUGCCCUCUUUCCCAACCCACGCCUUCCCCUCUAUCAGAACCAUCCUGGGAACCUGUUGACAGAGUGGGCUCUUACAGAGUCUCUGGCUGUGAACUCUAUGGAUCUUUUUUGUUCACAUGCUGCCCAGAUGAUUCUGUGCACAUGAGUGCCCGAAAGCCCUUCCAAGACUCUGGGACAGGGCAGGGCAGGGCAGGGCAGUGACGGUUGCAAUGUCCCCCACGGAGAGACUGACUUCCUCAGGAGCCCAGGAGAGGGUGCCUGGCAGGGGAGGCCUCUGAGCUGGAUCUUCAAGGGUGACUGUUGGCUGACACAGAGGAAAUGGGAGGGAGAGAGUUUCAGGCAAAAGGAAAACUCCCAGUCAAGUUGCAGAGACCUGAAGAAACACAGUAUGUUGAGGAGAUUGGAGGCCAACUGUGAGGGGCCGUUUGUAAUUUUCAGUUAAUUAACCCUUAUUGAUUUCUUGCAAUGUUCUGAGCACUGUGCCCAAGGAGGGUGAAACUGCUUAAGGAACAGGCUGUUCCUGGGUCCGGCUCUGGGCUCUCGUUUGCUUCAGCGGAGCGAUGCCCUAUCACUGCCAAGAUCUGCAAGUCUCCCAGGAACCUAGAUUCAUGGGGUUAUAAAGCCACACAUGCAGGUGGCAGGGUCUCUGUGGGAAAGGCACAGAGCUCUGGCUUGUGUCACCAGGAUCACCUCUUCCAGAUGCGGCCCCAGCAUGUGGGGGUAUGGACUCCUCAUCUGCAAACUCUGAAGGCUCUGGAGGAGGCAGAGUCUGGUCUGGGCAUCGGGUGGGUAUAGGGGUCAGGUGGCAAGAUGCUUAGGAAGGUCACGGUGGGUGAACUUAUGAAAUCGUGGUUUGGUUUUGUGAUGCUGUUGAUGCUGGACUAUAAAUAUUAUGAGUAAAAUAGGCUUUGGAAGCCUAACCUGGAAUUCUAACCACUAUUUAUAACUUUUUGUUAAGGGAACAAGUAAACCAUGGUCCAAAAACUAAAAAAAAAUUUUUUUUGAGUAAAUGAUAGCUCUUUAUUGAUCAUUUAGUGGGCACCAGGCUUCCAAUGCUCUGAGCUUUACACUUGUUUUCUUUUCUUUUCUUUUUAAUAUCUGUCUACUUCUCUCCCUGGCCCUCUGAGAGAUGUGGUAUUAUUCCAUCUGCUUUACAGAUCUUGGGGCUUGUGACAGAGUUGGCAUUUGAAUCCAGGUACAUGGAGCUAUUAAAAACUGCAUGUGUAACAACCAAGCCAGGCUCCUCUUGGAAUGUAGCUUUUUAUUAAAUGGGUGAUUUCCUUUGCCUUCUUUUACAUACACACCUCACAGGGUCUAUAGAGGCUUUGGCGAGUAGUCAACAUAAAACCAAUUGAAAAUAUAAACAAAAGGCCCCAGAAGAAGUAGAAAGAAAAGUACUAUUUUCUUUCCUUUCUCCUUCUACAUUGCUCAUUGCUGUACACAGCAUCCUUUCUCCAGAGUACUUUUGUUUAAGAAUGCCUGAGAAAGGGGCAAGGACAUGUAACCUUAUUUAAUUUGGCAGGAAUUACAGCUCAUGUUGAAUAUCACAUUCCUCUAUUCCAAGGAGUGUUUUCAGAUACAGUGGCUGUAAGAUGAUUCUGAUUUUGUAAAACAAACUUUAGAAGGCUCGGAUGAAUUCAGUUGUGUUAAUGAGAACAAGUGCUGUGAUUUGCCGAGCAUAUUCCUUGAUUAUCUCUUCUUUCUCCCGAUACCUGCAUAAUUGCCUGGAGCUUGAAGCAUGGUUUACACUUGAGCAUCUGACCGUUUGCAGUACCUGAAGGGGAAGGUAAACUGUCAGCUCUGUCAAUUCUAUUUGUGGGCAUCAUCUCUGUGAGUGGAAACAUAGAGGCUGCUGUGGUGAGAACUUGUAGCUGAAUAUACAGAAGGGGAAACGUGCAGGAAUAAAAUUCCUUCCCAGUAAUCUGGAGUUUCAGUAAUACUUAGUUGUUAAAUAUUUGCUCUUUUUUUAUUCAAAAGUUUAAUUAUUUGCACUUUUGCAAUUUUCUGCUUGGCUUGGCAUUUAAUCCAACUGUUUUAUGCUUAUUCAUUGCAUACUAAACUGGUCUCCCUUUCUAAACUAUCAUUGGUCUUUAUAGUCAUUUUAUAUGAUUUAAUUAUAUUGUAUUAUUUAAAUAGUACUCUCCGGAGUGCCGUCUAUGUACGAAGUAUUUGCAAUCUUUUCAUGCAUGUAAUUUCCGGUACCAAAGGGUUAACAAAGUACUGUACAACUGUUAGACAUUUCACAGUAUUUAUAGUGAAGAUAUGAAUUUACAUGACCUCUGAGUAAAAAAGAAAUUAAUUGAGCUCAUGCUGUGAAACUAAAUACAUCAGUGGGAAGAAAAAUGGUAGGGUUUACUAGCGGAAGUAAUUAGAUCAAAGGAUUCUUCUGCAUUGUACUAAGUUGCCUCUGCUUGUUUCUGAGUGGCUGCUAAUGUUUAAAUUUCUGAGCUGUCGGAUUUUUACUAUUUUGCCAACAACAUUUUCUCUACUUCAAGUGUUAGUGGAAAACUAAUCAGAUACAGUAAUUGAUUUAACGACAGAAUGAUUCAAUAGUUGCAAUCUUCCGUAAAAUCUCCCUUCUUCUUCAUUCUUAAGGUAAAUUAUCAACUUAUGGGUCUUUCAGAGAAGCAUUUCUCUUUGGGUUAAGAAGCUGAUUGCAGUGGCUCAGGUAGCUGCAGAGGUUCGAUCACCAGCUGGCGCAGUGGGUUAAAGGAUCUGAUGUUGCUGCAGUGGCAUAGUGGCUCAGAUUCACUCUCUGGCCUGGGACCUUCCAUAUGCCUCGGAUAUGGCCAUCAAAAAAAAAAAAAAAAAAAAAAAAAAAAAA